GAUGAACGCUGGCGGCGUGCCUAAUACAUGCAAGUCGAGCGAACAGACGAGGAGCUUGCUCCUCUGACGUUAGCGGCGGACGUGUGAGUAACACGUGGAUAACCUACCUAUAAGACUGGGAUAACUUCGGGAAACCGGAGCUAAUACCGGAUAAUAUAUUGAACCGCAGUGUUCAAUAGUGAAAGACGGUUUUGCUGUCACUUAUAGAUGGAUCCGCGCCGCAUUAGCUAGUUGGUAAGGUAACGGCUUACCAAGGCAACGAUGCGUAGCCGACCUGAGAGGGGGAUCGGCCACACUGGAACUGAGACACGGUCCAGACUCCUACGGGAGGCAGCAGUAGGGAAUCUUCCGCAAUGGGCGAAAGCCUGACGGAGCAACGCCGCGUGAGUGAUGAAGGUCUUCGGAUCGUAAAACUCUGUUAUUAGGGAAGAACAAAUGUGUAAGUAACUAUGCACGUCUUGACGGUACCUAAUCAGAAAGCCACGGCUAACUACGUG
rnacentral:rRNA from 1 species